rnacentral:RNase_P_RNA from 1 species
GAGUCGGCUAGACAGUCGCUGCCAGCUUCGGUUGGGAGAGGAAAGUCCGGGCUCCACAGGGCAGGGUGCCAGGUAACUCCUGGGGGGCGAGAGCCUACGGAAAGUGCAGCAGAAAGGAAACCGCCAACUUCGGUUGGUAAGGGUGAAAGGGUGCGGUAAGAGCGCACCGCGCGGCUGGUAACAGGCGUGGCAUGGUAAACCCCACCUGGAGCAAGACCAAAUAGGAUUCCAUUAGGCGUGGCCCACGCUGGAAUCGGGUAGGUUGCUUGAACGUCAUGGUGACGUGACGUCUAGACGAAUGACUGUCCACGACAGAACCCGGCUUAUCGGCUGGCUCAA